rnacentral:siRNA from 1 species
GUCGGGCAAGUUUGGUGGUUCCA